GAUGAAGAACGCAGCGAAAUGCGAUAAGUAGUGUGAAUUGCAGAAUUCAGUGAAUCAUCGAAUCUUUGAACGCACAUUGCGCCCCUUGGUAUUCCAUGGGGCAUGCCUGUUCGAGCGUCAUUUGUACCUUCAAGCUUUGCUUGGUGUUGGGUGUUUGUCUCGCCUUUGCGUGUAGACUCGCCUUAAAAUAAUUGGCAGCCGGCGUAUUGAUUUCGGAGCGCAGUACAUCUCGCGCUUUGCACUCAUAACGACAGCGUCCAAAAGUACAUUUUACACUCUUGACCUCGGAUCAGGUAGGGAUACCCGCUGAGUUUAAGCAUAUCAAUAAGCGGAGGA
rnacentral:misc_RNA from 1 species